UACGAAGGGUGCUAGCGUUGUUCGGAAUUACUGGGCGUAAAGGGCGUGUAGGCGGACGUAUCAGUCAGGGGUGAAAUCCCGGGGCUCAACCCCGGAAUGCCUUUGAUACUGUAUGUCUAGAAUCUGUGAGGGGAUAGUGGAAUAUCAAAGUUGUAG
rnacentral:rRNA from 1 species